UACGUAGGGUGCAAGCGUUAAUCGGAAUUACUGGGCGUAAAGCGUGCGCAGGCGGUUUUGUAAGUCUGUCGUGAAAUCCCCGGGCUCAACCUGGGAAUUGCGAUGGAGACUGCAAGGCUGAGAAUCUGGCAGAGGGGGGUAGAAUUCCACGUGUAGCAGUGAAAUGCGUAGAGAUGUGGAGGAACACCGAUGGCGAAGGCAGCCCCCUGGGUCAAGACUGACGCUCAUGC
rnacentral:rRNA from 1 species